GAUGAACGCUGGCGGCGUGCUUAACACAUGCAAGUCGAACGGAAAGGCCCAAGCUUGCUUGGGUACUCGAGUGGCGAACGGGUGAGUAACACGUGGGUGUUCUGCCCUGCACUUCGGGAUAAGACUGGGAAACUGGGUCUAAUACCGGAUAGGACCACAUUUUGGACGGUGUGGUGGAAAGUUUUUCGGUGUGGGUUGAGCUUGCGGCCGAUCAGCUUGUUGGUGGGAUAAUGGCCAACCAAGGCGCUGACGGGUAGCCGGCCUGAGAGGGUGUGCGGCCACAUUGAGUCUGAGAUACGGCCCAGACUCCUACGGGAGGCAGCAGUGGGGAAGAUUGCACAAGCGGCGCAAGCCGGAUGCAGCGGCGCCGCGUGGGGGAUGACGGCCUUCGGGUUGUAAAAUCCUUUCGCUAGGGACGAAGCGUUAUGUGACGGUACCUGGAGAAGAAGCACCGGCUAACUACGUG
rnacentral:rRNA from 1 species